AGACAUAAACAAAUCUCCGCCGGCGCCUAUGACGUACACCCCCACAUCGCAAAAUAGCCCCUACCCUUAGAAUAUUAUUUCGUAUUCAUUCUAGUUUGACUCUACUCUUGAUCAGCAACCUAUGCUUGAAGCAACUGGAAGCUAGAUUAAGAAUCACCUACAUCUAAAUGUUAAAUAAAUACAUUAAAACACUGA